rnacentral:rRNA from 1 species
UGGGGAAUAUUGCACAAUGGGCGCAAGCCUGAUGCAGCAACGCCGCGUGAACGAUGAAGGUCUUCGGAUCGUAAAGUUCUGUUGCAGGGGAAGAUAAUGACGGUACCCUGUGAGGAAGCCCCGGCUAACUACGUGCCAGCAGCCGCGGUAAUACGUAGGGGGCUAGCGUUAUCCGGAUUUACUGGGCGUAAAGGGUGCGUAGGUGGUCUUUCAAGUCGGUGGUUAAAGGCUACGGCUCAACCGUAGUUAGCCUCCGAAACUGGAAGACUUGAGUGCAGGAGAGGAAAGUGGAAUUCCCAGUGUAGCGGUGAAAUGCGUAGAUAUCAUGAAGAACUCCGAUUGCGAAGGCAGCUUACGGGAGCGCAACUGACGCUGAAGCUCGAAGGUGCGGGUAUCGAACAGG